GACGAACGCUGGCGGCGUGCCUAAUACAUGCAAGUCGAGCGGACCGAACAGGAGCUUGCUCUUGUUCGGUUAGCGGCGGACGGGUGAGUAACACGUGGGUAACCUGCCCGUAAGACCGGGAUAACUCCGGGAAACCGGAGCUAAUACCGGAUAACACCGAAGACCGCAUGGUCUUUGGUUGAAAGGCGGCUUCGGCUGCCACUUACGGAUGGGCCCGCGGCGCAUUAGCUAGUUGGUGAGGUAACGGCUCACCAAGGCGACGAUGCGUAGCUGGCCUGAGAGGGUGACCGGCCACACUGGGACUGAGACACGGCCCAGACUCCUACGGGAGGCAGCAGUAGGGAAUCUUCCGCAAUGGACGAAAGUCUGACGGAGCGACGCCGCGUGAGCGAAGAAGGUCUUCGGAUCGUAAAGCUCUGUUGUUAGGGAAGAAGAAGCGUCGUUCGAACAGGGCGGCGCGGUGACGGUACCUAACGAGAAAGCCCCGGCUAACUACGUG
rnacentral:rRNA from 1 species